rnacentral:lncRNA from 1 species
UGGAAGGUCAUUUGAAUCUACGGAAAGUAGCGCCGAAAGCUCCAACCUUACACAGAUGAGAACUUGGGUCCCAAACUAAUUUUUCUUGGCUUUCUUUCCCAACCUUCUAGUUUUGUAGCUCUUGAGUCCCCACUGAUGGAUACCGUCCAAAAAGAUUGGAACACGAGUACUCAUCUAUUUAAAGUUUUACCUUCAGGUAUGCAUUCAACUGCAGCUUAUAAACUUUCUUCCUCAUUGCCUUUAUCUAGCUAAGUUAGAUUAUUAGAGAGGUAACCUCGAAAAUCUUGGAUAUCGAAGAUGUAUUUUUCUAUAUACCAACCACAACAAACUGUCUUAAUAAAUUUAGAGGUGAUUGCACGAAUUUUUUUCCAACAUUUGUUUGAUUCAUUGUUAUAUAUAGGUGAAAAAUCCAUUGAAAUCAAUCGCAUUUUGGUUAACAAUAGUAGAAAUUUAUUUCUCCAGCGGGAGAAUCUAUGCUGUCUCCUAGAAAUUAAACUACAACCUAUAGAAAAGCAGUAGGCAUUGGCUUCUGACAGAAAACCGAGCCAAAAGUUACUGCAUAAGAUCAAAUUGAUAAGAAGUAAAACUGGUGGUUCUUUUCCUUGUAAAGCCAACUGAUGCUUAUGUUCCUUCUAAAAAUAUUCUGCUAAUUAUUCUACUGUAUUUUUCAACAUUCGUAUCCACGAAAAUCUCAUACAUGCACACACAGAGCUACGUAUUAUUGGGUGUGAUUAUUUUCUCCAAUAAUAUUCCUUUGAAAGUUGAGAAAUGGAGAUGAAGUUAGAUGCUAUUCAAAGCCCACCCCUUAAUACUCUCUCCCUCUCUCUCUUCCUUUUCCAAAAUUUCCAUAGUUAGGCUGAUCAGAAAGAGAAAUGAUUAAAGGCAGAACCCAUCAAUCUGAUUCCAAUUCCUGCCCAUAGAAAUGUUGUUUUUACAUAUUGUAGAAUGAAGAUAUUGGGUCAUGCAUGUGGAGCCACUCUUUUCUGGGUUCCCGUCAGUCUUUUAUGAAUACUUGACAGAUGCGCAUUAUAUAAAAUACAAUACACACAUUAUUGUUUUGCAGUUAAAUUAAACUCUUGCUUUUGCUAAUCCUGGUAAUGCCAACUUGUUUUUUUUAAUGCAUUUGAAGGAACUUUCUUCGCUAACCUCACCUUUUUACACGUUUUUACAUAAUCCCUCAUUUGAAAUCUUUAAUCUCUACCCUCUUGUUGCUCUCUCUCACACAUGCGUGCACACAAAAUAUGUUGGUUUUGUGGAUUCAUUAUGUUAUGUUAUUAAUUGCAUUGUGAGAUGUAAAGCUUGUUUUAAACAAUGACUAUGCAUGUGUUUUUUAUUAAGCAUCAGGUACGGUUCGAGUAGAUAAAAUCCAUUUCAUGCCCUACAUGUUGGUUUUAGCAAAUGAGUAUAUUGCCCUAUAUAAUCUAUAGACUCUUUAGAGCGAAUAUAAGAAAAGAACUUUCAUGAUUGUAUUAGUCCUCCUCCAUCCAUGUAUAUAUAUUGAAGUGACUGCCCCACCGGGGCAUAACUUAGUGAUUCAAAGGAUAGGAGUAGGGUUAUCUAUAGUCGCAGUGUGGGGAUUUGAUUCCUGAAAUAUGGAAUUGGAUUCCUUGUAGGCGCAGUGUACAGGCAGCUCUUGUUCCCUGACCUGUUGGGGCACAUCCCG